rnacentral:lncRNA from 1 species
UUCAUGAGUCCCAUGUUUGCUUUUACGUCAAACAGUGACUUGAAUUAUGAGUAUGCAAAGCACUUUGAGUAUAUGACUUGCUGAGUAACCGGGUGCCUUCAUCGCCAAUGUCGGUAUUCGCAUAAAAAGGCAAAUGAUGACUUAAGGAAGAGUGCAAAAGUGUAUAGGCUGUUCUAAAAGUAUAAAAUAAAACAAAUAAAGGAAGGGAUGAAAAGUAUAAGUAAUUGAGUAUGCUCUAAUUUAUUGUGGUUAAUUUAUUUUCACUUAUGUGACCAUAACCAUCAUUCUUAUUGCUUGCUUUCCAUUUUUUAACCCGAAAAAGUCCUAUUGAUCUCUUGAGUACGUUGUUUGCACUAUUGGAGAUGGGCUGAUAGGAUUUUACAUUCAGGAUUGGAUGUUUGAACCGAAUUAUUUUAUUAAAACCUAAAG